CCUACUCUUGACAUCCAGAGAACUUUCCAGAGAUGGAUUGGUGCCUUCGGGAACUCUGAGACAGGUGCUGCAUGGCUGUCGUCAGCUCGUGUUGUGAAAUGUUGGGUUAAGUCCCGUAACGAGCGCAACCCCUAUCCUUAUUUGCCAGCGCGUAAUGGCGGGAACUCUAAGGAGACUGCCGGUGACAAACCGGAGGAAGGUGGGGAUGACGUCAAGUCAUCAUGGCCCUUACGAGUAGGGCUACACACGUGCUACAAUGGCCGGUACAGAGGGCUGCAAACCUGCGAAGGCAAGCUAAUCUCAGAAAACCGGUCGUAGUCCGGAUCGCAGUCUGCAACUCGACUGCGUGAAGUCGGAAUCGCUAGUAAUCGUGAAUCAGAAUGUCGCGGUGAAUAGUUCCCGGGCCUU
rnacentral:rRNA from 1 species